rnacentral:rRNA from 1 species
UUAAAUUGAAGAGUUUGAUCAUGGCUCAGAUUGAACGCUGGCGGCAGGCCUAACACAUGCAAGUCGAACGGUAACAGGAAACAGCUUGCUGUUUCGCUGACGAGUGGCGGACGGGUGAGUAAUGUCUGGGAAACUGCCUGAUGGAGGGGGAUAACUACUGGAAACGGUAGCUAAUACCGCAUAACGUCGCAAGACCAAAGAGGGGGACCUUCGGGCCUCUUGCCAUCGGAUGUGCCCAGAUGGGAUUAGCUUGUUGGUGGGGUAACGGCUCACCAAGGCGACGAUCCCUAGCUGGUCUGAGAGGAUGACCAGCCACACUGGAACUGAGACACGGUCCAGACUCCUACGGGAGGCAGCAGUGGGGAAUAUUGCACAAUGGGCGCAAGCCUGAUGCAGCCAUGC